GGGGGCGUUACGGAUUCGACAGGCAUAGGUCGAGCUUGGAUUGCGUUUCGUAGGUUACGGCUACGUUAAAACGUUACCAGUUAAAUAUAACUGCUAAAAACAAUAACAACACUUACGCUUUAGCUGCGUAAAACCAGCUAGCGUAGAUCCUCUCGGUAUCGCCCAUGUACUCGAGCAAGGGUCCUAUAAUCAGUGGGAUACGCUAAACCUUUCCGUCUGGAAGUUUUAGAAGAGAUCAUCAGACUAGCAACGUAUGAUGCCGGUUGUGCGGCUAAUACUGAGCGAAAUCUUAAUAGCAUAACUAUAAACGUAGAAGUCUAAGUGUCGUUAUGUUUGGACAGGGGUUCGACUCCCCUCGUCUCCAUAA
rnacentral:tmRNA from 1 species